rnacentral:rRNA from 1 species
UACGUAGGGGACGAGCGUUGUCCGGAAUUACUGGGCGUAAAGGGCGCGCAGGCUGUAGAUCAAGUCAGCUGUGAAAUGUCUGGGCUUAACCCGGGCAUGCGGUUGAAACUGAUGUACUGGAGUGCUGUAGAGGCAAGUGGAAUUCCCAGUGUAGCGGUUAAAUGCGUAGAUAUUGGGAAGAACACCGGUGGUGAAGGCGACUUGCUGGGCAGCAACUGACGCUGAGGCGCGAAAGCCAGGGGAGCAAACGGGAUUAGAUA